UGGGGGAAACAUUUAGUACGUAAAAUUAUAAUUAGGUUCUUUUGAAGCAUAAUCCUUCUUUCAAAUUUGAGGCCUUGCUCUGUUCUGGUUCUUCAAGUUUGCAUUACUGCAUCACCUUCUUCUCCUUCUUCUUCUUCUUUUUAAAUUUUUUAUACACAUUUAAACCAAAUCUGAUGACUACAAAGAAACUGUCUUAGUUCACUGAUUAUGUUACAUACUUAGAUUUCAUUUCGUUAUACAAAUUUUUUAUACACAUUUAAACCAAAUCUGCUUUUUUGUAUGAAAGAGCAAUUUGCACUAUUGGAGCCAAAUAAGAAUGGAUGCAUCUCACUAGAAAACAUAAGAAUGGCAUUGGUGAAAAAUGCAACAGAUGCUAUGAAGGAAUCCCGCAUUCAUGAUUUUCUUGCUUCGUUGAAUGCUCUUCAAUAUGGAAAGAUGGACUUCCACACCGGUAGCUUUAUGGCCAGAAGCUAACAAACACGUCUACACACAAAUGAGAGAGAGAGGAUCCAUUCCAGUGUAAAGAAGAAUCAUCAAUGCCUGACGAAAGGGCGCUGUUCUUUGAAGUGGACAUGGUCCUUGAUGUUGUCUCCUUCCAACUUGAGGCUGGCCCACCACACCAAAUCGCCUUCCACCUUUAGAGAACCCCCACCAACAGUGGUGGUAGAAGCAGCAGCAUUGUCACAGGGAACUUGAAGAGGAAGAUUAUUCAGCUUCGAACAUCCACU